GGCCGAUGCGACUGCUGGCUAGGUCACCGCCCCUUCAAGGCGGGGGACCGGGAUCGAUACCCGGAUCGGCUGCCA
rnacentral:tRNA from 1 species